CCUACGGGUGGCAACAGUGGGGAAUAUUGGUCAAUGGGGGAAACCCUGAUCCAGCGACGCCGCGUGAGUGAAGACGUAUCUCGGUACGUAAAGCUCCAUUAGCAGGAAAGUAAAUGACGGUACCUGACUAAGAAGCCCCGGCUAAUUACGUGCCAGCAGCCGCGGUAAUACGGAGGCGGCAAGCGUUAUCCGGAUUUACUGGGUGUAAUGGGAGCGUAGACGGAAGCGCAAGUGAGUGGUGAAAUGCCGGGGCCCAACCCCGGAACUGCCCUGGAAACUGUGAAGCUGGAGUGCAGGUGAGGUAGGCGGAAUGCCUGGUGUAGCGGUGAAAUGCGUAGAGAUCAGGAAGAACACCGACGGCGAAGGCAGCUUACUAAACUGUAACUGACGUUGAGGCUCGAAGGCGUGGGGAGCAAACAGGAUUAGAUACCCGAGUAGUC
rnacentral:rRNA from 1 species